rnacentral:rRNA from 1 species
AGAACGAACGCUGGCGGCGUGCCUAACACAUGCAAGUCGAACGAGAAAGUGGAGCAAUCCAUGAGUAAAGUGGCGACCGGGUGAGUAACACGUGACUAACCUACCUUCGAGUGGGGGAUAACCUCGGGAAACCGAGGCUAAUACCGCAUAACAUCGCAAGAUCAAAGCAGCAAUGCGCUGGAAGAGGGGGUCGCGGCUGAUUAGCUAGUUGGCGGGGUAACGGCCCACCAAGGCGAAGAUCGGUAGCCGGCCUGAGAGGGCGCACGGCCACACUGGAACUGAAACACGGUCCAGACUCCUACGGGAGGCAGCAGUGGGGAAUUUUGCGCAAUGGGGGAAACCCUGACGCAGCAACGCCGCGUGGAGGAUGAAGCCCCUUGGGGCGUAAACUCCUUUCGACCAAGACGAUAAUGACGGUACUGGUGGAAGAAGCACCGGCUAACUCUGCGCCAGCAGCCGC